rnacentral:pre_miRNA from 1 species
UGAAGGCCUCUUGCUCAAAUGAGUAUUCCACAAUGUCACUCUCCAGAAAUGUUUGAAAGUCUCUUUUCAGUCUCUAGUUGACAUAGCUUGAGAUACUCAUUUGGGCAUGAAGCUUUGG